UCGUUCAUUGUUUGUUCAUGUUCGUUAAUGAAUUAACUAACAUUAACUAAAGGACUAGUAUUCUAAAGUGUUACCACUUAAUCUUUGUAAAUAAGUAACGGUAGUGAAAUUAAAUAAAGAAGCUUUAGCUCCGUUAAAGCCCCUUUUUGGGGGAAAACAAACGGAUUCCCCUGAUAAGUAGCAUUGGUCUAUGGCGGCAACGUUGACGUGCAGCCAAUGAGGCGUCUAGCUAUUUAUAUGUCUAUGGGUGUAACAGUACUCACUCUCAGUUUUAUAAAUAAAGGUUUAUUAACUUUUUAUUGUUAAUGCAGUGUAACGUUUUUUGUUAAUGAGCAUCUCCUAAGGCAUCCGGCAUAUUAACGUUACUGAGGUGAUAUUGAGCAGCUGUGAUAACGUUAAAUCUGAAGUGCAUUAACUUCUGUGUUUAGAGCACUUUAUGCCUUCAACAGGAGCUGGCAGAGUAAUGGGCAAGAAAAGAAGACACCAUGAACGUUACGACUUUAUGUUUUAAAAGCGAUUAUACGACCAGGAGAAGAUCUGACAUCAUGGAGUUCUUCAAGGAUAACACACCUUUUUAUCCGAACGAGGUCAUGAUUGCUGCUGUACUUUGCAUCCCAGACACCCCCUGCAUUCUUAUCAUGGAUUACUGUCAUACAAGUUACCAUGUCCUCCCCCAUUGAGACUGAGCUAAAAAUUCCCUUUGUUUUAUUUUAAACAAAACAUCUGGAGGAGAAUGGCACCUACGAUGGAAUUCAUACAAAUUCUUCCUGUGAAGAAAUCCUGAAUGAGCAUCAAAGGUUCAGAUGAAGGAAUCUACGCCUCCAAGACUCAUGUAUGAACUACUUCUAGAUUCCGUGUAAAUGUGUUUUUUUUUUCAAAUCUCAACUUAGCACUUGGACUAAAAAUGCAGCAAAAGAAAAAGUAGUUUCCUCAAACGGGCACAUGGCAAGAUAUACUAAAUUCACACAAACACUUGGAGCCCUGAUCUUAAUUUGGAUUGUAUAGUUUUCUUAGUUUAACAUUGAAAUGUCAGGAAUGAGUGCAUAAAUCUUUGUUCUUUAUUUUCAAAUGCUGUACAAGAAAGUUUUUUUUUUUUUUUUCUAUGUCAGUUGUAGAUGCAGAUAAUUUAGCAUGAAUAAGAGGUUAGUAAUCUAACUAGGGUUAGUUCACCCAUAAUAUUAUAUGAAUAAUCUCAUUCCAAUCCUGUUAGUCUUUUGUUCAUUUUUGGAACACUAAUGAAGAUCCUUUUUAAUGAAAUCAUUUUUAAUGAAAUCUGACAGCUGUACUGUAUUGGACGUUGAAAUGGCAGUUGCAUAUGCUGUCAAUUGUGGGACAGAAAGCACAGAUUUCAUUAAAAAUACUCUUCAUUUGUGUUUCAAAGAUGAAUGGAAAUCGUAUGGAUUUGAAAUUAUAUGAGGUAGAAUAACUGGUGACAAAAUUCUUUGUGACCACUAUUUGGUGCAACACCAAUAUUGUAAAAGUACCUGUUCAUGAUUUCUUUUUUCUGCAUGUUGCUGUUUAAACUAAAAAUUGUUCUAUUAUGUAAAACAUUUUCAAUGGUGCUUUUCACAUUGUUAAAUUGAUGUCAUAAUAUUUUUGUCUUCACCUGUUUAAGGCAAAUAAAAGCUACUGAACCAUGUUUAAGAAUGUUCACAAGAGGUAAAAAUAAACCAUGUUCAAUUUGUACAUAUUGUGCUGGAUUUAUUUGCUACAGAAGAGGCCUAUGCUAUAAUUUUUUAAAAAAUCUCUGCAUAACGGAUUUUCCGUUUAUGGUAGGAAGAAAAUGUUAAUCUACAGAAAUUUCAGUUUUAACGUUGAAGGAAGUGUCUGUAAAGUGU